UGGCAAGGAUCCAAGGUAGACGAAUUUCUCGACCCCCUCGAAGGUAUCUCCGUCUAUCACAACACAACACUUCUUCUCAGCAGGGCUUAAACUUAUCAUUUAGUAUUCAAUCAAUAACUAAUUCCAGAGUCGGAAUUCUGAAACGUAUUGUAUGGCGCUAUGUUCCCUCUACUACUUUAUCUAAGAGUAUGCCAUGAAGGUACAAUUCGAUCGAAGAUUGGUCACUCCGCAGAGUAGCACAGCUCUCGUGCAAAACCGGUCCGCAUCAGAUCCUGAGCCACGUGCUCAAUUUUAAUCUGCAGCAUAGAUGGCAACAGGAUCUACGAGAACCACGGAAAUGAUCUGAUACGAGUUCGCCGCAAGGACAAAGGUCAACAAUCGCCCAAAAUCAUCAAUACCCAAAUCGACAGCCAUGGUUACCGUCGCAACAUCAAUCAACAACAACAGAGGAUGAUCGGCAACCAGGGUGAACCAUGCGCACUGCAAGGCAAUGCGCAACCACCAAGGGAAAACAGCACUAGUUCUGCCAUGACUUGUUGAAGCUGCGAUGCAGAAGGACAUGGUUUUAUGGACUGUCCAAAGCCUUAAGCCGUGGUUCUGCUAUAGAUGUGAUAGGAAAGGGUAUACCUUAUGCAGCUGCUUCACGUGUCGCUCCGACGCGGGAAACCAGAAAGCGGGGAAUCAACUGUAGGGCGGAAUAAUUCUCCGCUUGAACUUGAGGAUCUCUCUACGUAUCCGCAUGUUCAACACCUCGAUACAGUCAUUAUCAAUCCCGGACAGGGCAACAGAACAGACCGCAUGCCUCGCCGCAUGCAGGUAUCAGCGUUCUUGUUACGUUCGUAAUUUAGGAGCUUAACUCUCACUCUUUUACGUUAUGUGUGCAAACCAAAAUACAAAAAUAAACCUUGAAGCAUAAGUUAACACCCAGCCGAUGACAGUGUUAUGACACCUUGUUAUGUUGUUAUCAAAUGUUAUGCUGCAAGGGAUACUAGGAUUGAAUCCGAAAAAGCAACAAAGAAUUUUCCUGUCGUUCGUGACUGAACGAAAAUUCGUCAUUUCCGUUCACGGCUCACACAUACCGUCUGACGGUCACCAGUAGGGACGAAGAAAAGAUUCCGAUCUAAGCCCCACAACUGCCACGCUCGCUGCAUCGGUGGAGUGCUCCUGGACAACAAAAGGCUGGGCCGGAAAGCGAGGCCUCGGAUGAACCCAUCGUGUUCGUAAGACGGGAAAAAGUGCCACGCAGCCGAUAAAUCGCCAGAUCAUCAGGAGAGGAAACUCCAAACAUAGGUCAAGACAAGGGUUGACCAUUCGGUUUGCCGUGACCGAAUAAGACCGAGCAGGACACACACCAAGAGCAGCAGAGGACUUGAGGCGGCACGGAAGGGACUUCUCCACAGUUACGGGUGCGGAUAAAUUCCCCCGCGCGGAGUGUGCUCGAGCGAAGCUCAUUGAGCAAGCCAGGCAGAACGUGCAUAGGAUCCAGUAUACGGGAACUUCCUACCACAACGGAUAGCGACCGGUAGCCAACGUAUCAAACAUUCGCCGUAAAAGAGAGCCUCCUAGGAGGCUCUUGUUUGGGAAUUAUUUCGUUGCGGAUUUUGGUGGAAACGGCACUCGGCGCCGACUGGAUCAAGCCGUGCAAACAAAGGUGGCUUAAGGUGCGAUCGACGAGCGACUCAAAGUGCGAUUUUAGCAGCAAGCCAUUCUCUCCCGACGAUUGCAAUCCGGGAACAGGAUCACACCCGCGCUGUGCACCAAGGCAUUCCAGGACGCAGACAAAGUGGCGACCGAUGUGCGGUCCAAGUUUUUCCCGUAGUCGGCAUGAAUAGCGGGAGCAGUGCAUGCACGGGCUCAUGGAGCGGUGUGUUCGCGAGGUAGCCGUACGCCGUGUCGAAGGCCGUAGGAGUCAAAUGAAGGGAAGCUGUUGGCGUGAGUUGCCACGAGAUGUGGAGGCAAAUGACAAGUGAAUGUGAAUGAAGAAGGGAAUUAGAGGAACAGAAAUAGGAAGAUUAGCAGACAGGAAGGAUAGAAGUUGAGAUACACGGGAAAUUGAUGAAGAGCAGAUAGAGCAUAAGAAAUAAAAUGUUUGCACACAAUUUAUGUA